GAUGAACGCUGGCGGCGUGCCUAAUACAUGCAAGUCGAGCGAAGCGGGGACGGGUGAGUAACACGUGGAUAACCUCCUAUAAGACUGGGAUAACUUCGGGAAACCGGAGCUAAACCGGAUACUUAAGAAUGGAUCUGGGCUGCAUUAGCUAGUUGGUCAGGUAACGGCUUACCAAGGCAACGAUGCAUAGCCGACCUGAGAGGGUGAUCGGCCACACUGGCACUGAGACACGGUCCAGACUCCUACGGGAGGCAGCAGUAGGGAAUCUUCCGCAAUGGGCGAAAGCCUGACGGAGCAACGCCGCGUGAGUGAUGAAGGUCUUCGGAUCGUAAAACUCUGUUAGUAGGGAAGCGGUACCUACUCAGAAAGCCACGGCUAACUACGUGCCAGCAGCCGCGGUAAUUC
rnacentral:rRNA from 1 species